CAAAAAACAAAAAGGAAGAAGAAUCAAAAUAAAAGUUUUUUUUGGGUUUUGGCGGUGUGAGUUUUCUUUCUUCUUUUUCUUCUUCUUCU
rnacentral:ribozyme from 14 species